ACACUCUGGUUUCCCUUCAAAUCACGCAUAAAUCUUUCGCCUUUUACUAAAGAUUUCCGUGGAGGGGAACAAUUGAUGAGUCUAUGAACUAAUUUUUUGUGAACCCGGCGCAAGCUGGGUC